AGAGAGUGUGUGUCAAUACCCCGAGCAAGUGCUCCAUUCAGCUUUCCAAGGGCAAAUGCCUCUUAUUUGCUGAGUCUCUCCUGGAAAACCAUUUCUAGGAAGCAUGAGCCAAUGUCCCCACAGCACUGGGGGCUGCCCAGGGGAUGGUACGUUGAGAACAGCCCAGGGCACAGUCCUGGGAGAUUGGGCUUAAUGGGGUGCUUGGCUGUCAGCUCUAUGAUGUCACUAAACACCCUCUAUUGCCCAGAAACUGGCCAAGGAGUCCUCUCUGUGGUGUGAAUGCCAAGCUGAGUGCCCCGUGUGGCAUCGUGGAGACAGCUCGUGCUCUCUCCAGCUCUGGACUCUGCGCUUUCGACUCCAUCUUCACGUUACACUGGGUGGUCGCUGCCACUCAGGGAGACACAGAAGCUCACCCGGGUCGGGAUGAGAGGAGGCCAAGAUGGAAACUGCCUUCAGCACAGCCCGACAGAACACAGCGUGACAAAUCUCAUCUCAAGUCACAGCCAGCUCUUCCUGGAGACCCUGUUUUAGGGCCUUGCAAAGUGCAGGACCGUCCAUUACAGCUG
rnacentral:lncRNA from 1 species